UCUUUCGAGCUGGAUAUCAGCACCUCUUUUGUUACGUACAUCCAUUUACUACUGAUGGCAAAGUAGUCAAUCUGCUUGUACAGUGUCGGUCAGUCGAAAUCCAACUGAUCUUAUGGAAAGGUCUGUGUUCGAAUGGUAGCGGUAGCGUAAAUAACAAUUCGACACCAGUUCGCGUCUGGUACCACUUGACAUUCCGAAGUAAAAAGCCCAAUACCGUAAGAAGGAAAGAAAUACUCUCCAGAGUCCUACCAUCUUAUUUCACAUUCAUAAUUCCAGAAUAAAAUCCCGUUGUCGAGUAUUCCAGAUACCAACCAUUAGCCGUUUUCGAUAGCCAAACGAUGUAGCAGUAAAGUUUCGAACCUUGCAGAGUAUUCUUGAACCCCAAGUCAUGUGGCAAACUGCAAUGGAUGGAAAUAAAACCCACUCCUACACAUAGCAGCCUCAUACAUAUCCAUCCAACAGCAACGGCAUAAACAGAAUAGCAAUUGCUCACUAUGCACACAAUUGAAUUGUUUUUUGAAUUGGAUUCCAUAUUGAUUGAUAAAAGUCGAGUGUUUCGUUUACCUGAAAGGACAAUGCUAAUAUAUAAGUAGUUGAUUGUAGAGUCAACAAGGCGGGUUUUUAUUUUGGCAUACAUUUAAGUAACAUUUUGUGUUAUAAAUAUUUAAAAUCUCAAUAAAUAAUAUGUUCAAUUGGAAAAUGACAAUUAAUUGGAUAGUUGAUCGUUUCAAGCAAAAAGUGUACAAAAAAGGUAUAAAAAGACAGCAUACAAUUUGAAUAAAUAAUCAUUGAUUUGCCUAA